AUGAGAAUUGAUUUUCCACGUUGCUUUCAGUUUUUGGAACAAAUUGUAGUUGUGGAAGUAUCUGUGCACCUAAAUGCUUAUUCUCUGAUCAUACAUCUAUAUCCACUUUCUGGUCUAUCUUCUCUCAUGUGUUCUCAAUUAAUAAUAAUACAACAGUUGAACAGUAUGACUCAAAUCCAUUUCUAAACAAAGAACACUAGAGUAGUCUACACAAAUUCAUUAUGAGAGAGAGAGAGAGAGAGCAACUUCUCUGUGGUAACUGUUUACAAAUGCUCUUGGUUUGUACUUAAUCACAUUAUUUUUAACGAGUAGAGACGUUGUCAUAUAAUUGUUUUUUUUCUUUUUAAUUUACUUCAAACUCACUGUAAAUCAUUACAUGUCGCUGAUUUGGUGAUAGUAGACAUUGAUGAGAGACUAUAAUGUUAAAUCAGGGUUUACUUUUGGUAAUAUGCUCUUCAACUUUAGUUUUGCUUGGUAGAUGAUUCAAUCUUCAUUGCAUAGUGAGUAAGUGCUAAUUUCGUUUUUUUUCUUUAGAUUAGUUUUGUGGCAUUGGUACAAGAGUGAAACUGACCUGAUCAAUGCUGAGAGCACUUGCCACAACUGUUUCACACUCUCUCAAGAUACCAAAGCUCUUCCAUUUCUUUGGUCUUCACUCAAAUUUCUUUCUGGAGUUUCAAAUAAAUUAAGUUGCUGUGCAGAAUGCUCUACAGGGUGGUCAAGACUAAAGAACAAGUCAUACUGUCCCAUGCGCGAUCCUUUUCAGUUUAACACUUGAAAUUGGUUUGCACCCUCUGUGGCGGCGAGCUUCGGAUCACCAAACAUGUUGAAUAUGGGUGUUACAGAAAGCUAGGAAAUGGGCACAUUGACUUUACCUGUUAAAAGGAUUGCUGUAAGUGUGGCUAAUCAAAGAUGUACGAGCCUAUCAGUUAACCUUCAGAUUAAGAUGUGUGCCAAGGGAAGUGAAGACCAAGAAAGAGGUCCGCCAUGAGAAAGAUUUGAUCAGACAACUGGUGAAAGAGAAGCAUCACACUUUGCUUCUUUUAUGAGAGGGUAAUUGGAUUGAAGAAAUUGGUCUUGAAAGGUAAUAAGAUGUUUAAGGGUGGAUCAACACGUUCUAGUCCGUCUACCUCGAGACAUUGAUGCAGCUUUGGGUUAUUUGACUUAUUUCUAAGACUACAGUUUGCAGCAGAAAGGAAGGAAGAAGGUUAAUUAGAAAGGGGUAGUUUGGGACUAAUUGUACCAAUUCUUCUUCAUCUUACUGAUGCCUACUGAUAGUAGUAUGUCAUUUAUUUACUUGAGUUAAUUCUUUGAUCUGGACCACAUGGAAGAUGAAUUUUUUGAUGAUGAGGAAGAA